rnacentral:rRNA from 1 species
GACAGAGGAUGCAAGCGUUAUCCGGAAUGAUUGGGCGGAAAGCGUCUGUAGGUGGCUUUUUAAGUCUGCCGUCAAAUCCCAGGGCUUAACCCUGGACAGGCGGUGGAAACUACCAAGCUGGAGUACGGUAGGGGCAGGGGGAAUUUCCGGUGGAGCGGUGAAAUGCGUAGAGAUCGGAAAGAACACCAACGGCGAAAGCACUCUGCUGGGCCGACACUGACACUGAGAGACGAAAGCUAGGGGAGCGAAUGGG